GGGACACGUGGUAUCCUGUCUGAAUAUGGGGGGACCAUCCUCCAAGGCUAAAUACUCCUGACUGACCGAUAGUGAACCAGUACCGUGAGGGAAAGGCGAAAAGAACCCCGGCGAGGGGAGUGAAAAAGAACCUGAAACCGUGUACGUACAAGCAGUGGGAGCCUCUUUAUGGGGUGACUGCGUACCUUUUGUAUAAUGGGUCAGCGACUUAUAUUCUGUAGCAAGGUUAACCGAAUAGGGGAGCCGAAGGGAAACCGAGUCUUAACUGGGCGUUAAGUUGCAGGGUAUAGACCCGAAACCCGGUGAUCUAGCCAUGGGCAGGUUGAAGGUUGGGUAACACUAACUGGAGGACCGAACCGACUAAUGUUGAAAAAUUAGCGGAUGACUUGUGGCUGGGGGUGAAAGGCCAAUCAAACCGGGAGAUAGCUGGUUCUCCCCGAAAGCUAUUUAGGUAGCGCCUCGUGAAUUCAUCUCCGGGGGUAGAGCACUGUUUCGGCAAGGGGGUCAUCCCGACUUACCAACCCGAUGCAAACUGCGAAUACCGGAGAAUGUUAUCACGGGAGACACACGGCGGGUGCUAACGUCCGUCGUGAAGAGGGAAACAACCCAGACCGCCAGCUAAGGUCCCAAAGUCAUGGUUAAGUGGGAAACGAUGUGGGAAGGCCCAGACAGCCAGGAUGUUGGCUUAGAAGCAGCCAUCAUUUAAAGAAAGCGUAAUAGCUCACUGGUCGAGUCGGCCUGCGCGGAAGAUGUAACGGGGCUAAACCAUGCACCGAAGCUGCGGCAGCGACGCUGAUGCGUUGUUGGGUAGGGGAGCGUUCUGUAAGCCUGCGAAGGUGUGCUGUGAGGCAUGCUGGAGGUAUCAGAAGUGCGAAUGCUGACAUAAGUAACGAUAAAGCGGGUGAAAAGCCCGCUCGCCGGAAGACCAAGGGUUCCUGUCCAACGUUAAUCGGGGCAGGGUGAGUCGACCCCUAAGGCGAGGCCGAAAGGCGUAGUCGAUGGGAAACAGGUUAAUAUUCCUGUACUUGGUGUUACUGCGAAGGGGGGACGGAGAAGGCUAUGUUGGCCGGGCGACGGUUGUCCCGGUUUAAGCGUGUAGGCUGGUUUUCCAGGCAAAUCCGGAAAAUCAAGGCUGAGGCGUGAUGACGAGGCACUACGGUGCUGAAGCAACAAAUGCCCUGCUUCCAGGAAAAGCCUCUAAGCAUCAGGUAACAUCAAAUCGUACCCCAAACCGACACAGGUGGUCAGGUAGAGAAUACCAAGGCGCUUGAGAGAACUCGGGUGAAGGAACUAGGCAAAAUGGUGCCGUAACUUCGGGAGAAGGCACGCUGAUAUGUAGGUGAAGCGACUUGCUCGUGGAGCUGAAAUCAGUCGAAGAUACCAGCUGGCUGCAACUGUUUAUUAAAAACACAGCACUGUGCAAACACGAAAGUGGACGUAUACGGUGUGACGCCUGCCCGGUGCCGGAAGGUUAAUUGAUGGGGUCAGCGCAAGCGAAGCUCUUGAUCGAAGCCCCGGUAAACGGCGGCCGUAACUAUAACGGUCCUAAGGUAGCGAAAUUCCUUGUCGGGUAAGUUCCGACCUGCACGAAUGGCGUAAUGAUGGCCAGGCUGUCUCCACCCGAGACUCAGUGAAAUUGAACUCGCUGUGAAGAUGCAGUGUACCCGCGGCAAGACGGAAAGACCCCGUGAACCUUUACUAUAGCUUGACACUGAACAUUGAGCCUUGAUGUGUAGGAUAGGUGGGAGGCUUGGAAGUGUGGACGCCAGUCUGCAUGGAGCCGACCUUGAAAUACCACCCUUUAAUGUUUGAUGUUCUAACGUUGACCCGUGAUCCGGGUUGCGGACAGUGUCUGGUGGGUAGUUUGACUGGGGCGGUCUCCUCCUAAAGAGUAACGGAGGAGCACGAAGGUUGGCUAAUCCUGGUCGGACAUCAGGAGGUUAGUGCAAUGGCAUAAGCCAGCUUGACUGCGAGCGUGACGGCGCGAGCAGGUGCGAAAGCAGGUCAUAGUGAUCCGGUGGUUCUGAAUGGAAGGGCCAUCGCUCAACGGAUAAAAGGUACUCCGGGGAUAACAGGCUGAUACCGCCCAAGAGUUCAUAUCGACGGCGGUGUUUGGCACCUCGAUGUCGGCUCAUCACAUCCUGGGGCUGAAGUAGGUCCCAAGGGUAUGGCUGUUCGCCAUUUAAAGUGGUACGCGAGCUGGGUUUAGAACGUCGUGAGACAGUUCGGUCCCUAUCUGCCGUGGGCGCUGGAGAACUGAGGGGGGCUGCUCCUAGUACGAGAGGACCGGAGUGGACGCAUCACUGGUGUUCGGGUUGUCAUGCCAAUGGCACUGCCCGGUAGCUAAAUGCGGAAGAGAUAAGUGCUGAAAGCAUCUAAGCACGAAACUUGCCCCGAGAUGAGUUCUCCCUGACUCCUUGAGAGUCCUGAAGGAACGUUGAAGACGACGACGUUGAUAGGCCGGGUGUGUAAGCGCAGCGAUGCGUUGAGCUAACCGGUACUAAUGAACCGUGAGGCUUAACCUU
rnacentral:rRNA from 1 species